CUACUGUUUUCUAAGGUUUGAUCUUUCCGAGUCUAUUUCAUGAUUACUGACAGAUCAAAAACAUCAAGUAUAUAUAGCAAAAAGUUGUUGGGCAGAAUUUUUAUUGGUCAGUUUUAAAUGAGGUCUGUAUGGGAUUUUGAAUGCCUCAUUUAUUAGAUAAGAAAUCAUUAUUUUGAAGUUGGCAAAAAAUAUAAAUUUACCCCCUAAUUUUGUAAAACUAUCAUUUGGUGUUAUUUUAAUGACAAAAAGGGCUGUUCAAAUCCCUUUGUCCUUCGGGCUCGGGUUUCUGAUCCCCCCUUUUUGUUCGGAGGUCUUUUAAUAUCAAUAUUAACUUAUCAUUGAACUUUUACUAUUACAUAAGAUUGUAUAAAUUGCAGUUACAGCGAAAAUUUGAAAAUUGAAAUUAUAUCUCCGAG
rnacentral:lncRNA from 1 species